rnacentral:tRNA from 1 species
GAGGGUAUAGCUCAGAGGUUAGAGCUCAUGCUUAGCAUGCAGGAUGUCCUGGGUUCAAUCCUCAGUACCUCCA